AGUGCGGGUGGACACAGAAACUAGCUCCUUUUUUGUUUUCUCUGGAGACUCUCUUAAUUAGCUGAAAUUGGAUGAUUUUGAUUUGCUUCUUUUCUCUUCCCUUCGUGUCCCACUUAUUCGCUUCUCUUUCUCCUUUCUUUCUGGUAUCUUUUGGCGACUUCGCACCCCUGGACCCCUCUAUAGUUGGCCGCUGCUGUCGAAAUGUUGACUGUGAUUGUGAUAACUGGUUUUGAUGAACCACUGUGUGUAGGUUUUGUGGUCGGGGGGGAGGUGAGGUAAGCUGUUGAUUCCAGAGCUGCUGUUUGUAGCCUUCUUGAAGUGGAGGUGGGUGGCGGUGGUGAGUGCCCUGGCUCUUGGAAAUAUGUGGUCCUGUGGCUGCCACGGAGGUUGGCGCAUCCCUGGAGGGUGGACCUGGGAGAUUCCUUUUAAAGUGGCCCUCCACCUGUUUGGCAGCCAAGAAGGUAUACUCCCAGGCUGCGGCCCUGGAGCCUCAGCACAGGAGGGGCUAUAGGAAGGGUUCUAGAGGGUCUGCAUAGAGACCCUGUCUUUGUGUCCAGCCCCAUCUGCUUUUGCGUGAGUAUUUCAUCUUCUGUAUUGUGUCUACUGUCAUCUGCCCUUGUACUCUGCACAGUUCUCUUGGAACAUGUUAUAUUCACUGAAGGGUCCUAGUGUCAAAUUUGGGUCAUUCCAUGGACAAAGGAGUGGAUCUGAGUAUUAUCCAUGUACAUUUAAUGAAUUAUAAUAUUUGCUUUCCUGUCAACCCUUGGAUGCCCUUUGAUUGCCCUUGCAAAGAAGUGCUUUUUAAAACAUGGCAGUAUAUUCCUCAUGGUCUUUGAAAGCUUAAUUCUUUUAAGAGCUUCAAUUUGCUAUUGACAUUGAACACAGUUAGGAAUUAGGGCCGAGACGUAAGUGCCAGUAAGGGGUUUGCUGCAGUGGACUUGCAGUUGCCUUCCUCCCUUGUUUUAAAAGCCCCUCUAAUUUCUUAACAUUCUCCUGUUACCCUUGGAAGAGUCUUGGCUGUGGUUCUGGAUCAUGGAGGCUUCUAUUUACCAUGGAGACGACUUUUCUGAACAGGGUUUAAGGCUGUCUCUCGAAUCCACUGUGGGGCUCAGUGUGCACCACCACAGUCCCACAGAGGAACCCAGCCAGUGCCAGCUGCUUAUUAAGAGAUUUGGUGCCAAUUUGCUGGCACAUGAUUUGAAAGUCAAAGUCUCCCGCUCCCACCCGCCAGUGUAUAUAUAUACAUAGACAGAUAUUUGUUCCCCCCACUGCUGACAGUGUUCUAAGAAUAGCUGUCUUGCCUGGCGCUGAGAGCAAACCCGCCCGCCUGCGGAGGUGUUUACAGUUUGGGCCUGUGCUGCAGUCUUGGUUGACUUAGCAGCCUGGCAGAGCAGCCGCAGUUCGCCGGGCGCUGUCUGCUUCUCUAGGCUGCAGGAGGGCCCCUCCCAGCCGGGCAGGAGAGUGCAGGGAGGUGAGGGUGGCCUGGGGCCCUGUGCCUGUUUCCUGGCCUGCCCCCUUGCUCUUCUGUGCCCCUGCACAGCCAGCCUGCAGUCUGGGCAGAAGGUGGUGGCUUUUUGUCCUCACAUAAAACCCAAGCACUCAGGGCUCGGGGUAGGGAUGCUGGCAACCGUGACUGGUCAGAUCUUUCUGGAGGCCCUUGCCAAGCUUCUUCGCAUCUUUCUUCUGAAUCGAAUCUUAUGGAGUCUCUUUGAUGUCUCUGUCCUUUUGAGUGAGAGGUAAUACAGAAGAAAGAAUAGAAAAUCAUGCCAUGGGAACCUGGAAAAUUUUUAGAAAUGUUUGACAUACUUCACAUAGAUGUACGGCUCUUAAAUGUGACCCGCUCAGAAUGCUGCCUCUCCCUUCUUCCUCCUUUUCUAAGUCUCAGAACACCCUCUGGGAAGCCAGCGUUUUCUGAUGUCAAAGUGCCUUUCUGCCUGCAUGGGAUCCGUCAGUCUGGAGAGUUACACCGUGACCCAGGCUAUGGGUGUGCGUGGAUGGCGAAUCUUGAGUUUUAAAAUAGUGAUGUAUAGCUUCUGUCUCCAUCUGAGGAUUUAGGCCACAAGACCUGCCCUGUCUUGGGGAGGUUUUGUGGUGGCAUCGUUAGCUUCUUUUUGAGGCAGCCAGAGGACAGAGGUGAACACCUGUACUAUGCAUUGCUGUAGAAAUAUUUGAUCUGUAUUUCUAAUUCGUACUGUUUUUCUCUCUACCACAGGGGCACUUGAAAAUGAUGUUUGUGUUGUCUCCUAUUCAUGUGAUUUGAGUAUGGAUUGCUUUUCUUUGAAUUUCCACUAAAAAUGGUACUUUGGCCUUUAAAGCUGUUUUUGUAAGGACUUUUCGUCCAACCCAGCUUGUUUUCCAGAUAGAUCUUGGAAAUUACGAAGAACAUAGCUAUAAUUUCUCCCUUGAUUGGCAGCAGAGAGCUUUCCCGGACAAAAAUAAGGCUGCUCUGUGCCAAAUGGUUGACUUUUCUAGAAUAAAAACUCUAAAGGGUUUGCAAAGAGUCCUCUGGUUAAUAUAUUGGCAUUCCCAGAACCCCGGCCGCCUGCCAGUCACCACUUAAUGAGGACGCAGAGUGUCUGGCUCAAAUCCCCCUGCGCAGAGUGGGGGGUGGGGGUUGAUGUCCGCACCCUUUAUUAAUUUUUAAUGACUGUACUUUUGUUUUGCACAUUUUGCUCUGCACCUCCUCAUGACCAACAGCCACCAUGCCACCCCUCCCUCAUUCGUUUAUUUACUCAUUUACUUGGCAUCAGAAAAAAAAAGUUGAGAUUUUCAAGGUUAAGACUCCUGCUGAGGAUCAAUUCUGUUUGCAUGAGUUCUCUCGUGGCUGGCUUUCUUUUUUUUUCUUAUUCUUUCUUUUUCUACACUCCAGACAGAUUGCUAAUGUUACAGGACAGGCAUAAAUAAAUUACCUCUGUCGGCACCACGCCUGCCCUGCAAGCACACCCUGCGGCUGGUCGGCUGGGCGCGGGUACCCAGGAGCCUGCUGGUGUGCGUGUGUGGAAGACCUCUGCCUACUGCCUGGGAUUCUGUGACUUGGCUCAGAAGCCAAAAGGGCGUGUCUCCUGCAUUUAUUUUUGGCAGGACUGCAGGGCACUUUCCCUGGCCCGUGACCCUGCCCCUUGCUGGCCCCUCGUACCCCCACAUCCCACCCCCUGUGUCAGGGGACAUGGCACCUCGUUUUCCUCCCAGGGUCUUGCUUCUGACGGACCCACACUUUGUUCUUAGCUGCUCAGGCUCUUGGGGUUCUCAGAGCCCAGUCUCAAGCCAUUUAGGGCUGCGUUCUGUCUACAGGUGCAGACGUUGAGAACAAACACCCUGAGAUAAGUGUGUGCUGCAGGGGGUGGGGGUUGGCACGCCGUGGGCACAGUGAACUUUCACCCCCGGCCGUUUGGCUAGUCAGCUGGCAGAGUGACAGGUGUCAUGAACUUAAUGGUCUUGCUCUAGUUGUUGGCAGACACGCUGCUCGUAUUACAAAGCCACCUCCUAAGUUGGGCUGCUGCCAAGUGACUCGCAAGAUCUUGGCUUUGCAGGCAGGAUCUGGGGCCUGGAUGGCUCGAUUGACGGGAAGGUCAGGAAUCGGGUGGGUGUGUAUGACAUCUGUGUCCCCUUAUCCACAUGGUCCCUAAGUGGGCCUGGAAUUUCUCUUCAGAGUAGGGCUGUUCAGGUCCAGGUGCCACAGAAGGGAACCUGUCCCCAGCCCGCUCCGUCCCUGCGGUGGGGAGAGGCCAGGUGGGGACUCAGGUCCAGGGCCCCCUCCUUGGUUCUGCAGAAGCACCCCGCCAACCUCUGUGCAGAGAUUGGGGGACACUUCCAGAGUGAAGCCCCCUGUUCAGAAGGGCACCUCCGGCAGGGGUCGCAGCAGCAGUACCACCUGGCACCAGACCACUCUUGGCAUCUCGUGAACUGACUUAACCCUUCCAGUGGCCCUGGGUCAGGGAUGCCACCACCACACUGACAGACGGCAGUGAGAGGCCUGAAACACCAAGUGAAGAGCCGCUGCCCUGUGAGCAGAGGUGGAGGCAGCUGUGUGCGCCGUCCUCUGGGGCCGGGCUGUAACCCUGGGGCUCGCCCCAAAUUGGGGACCAUGCACAGCGGGCGCUGGGUGGGGGCACCGUGGCGUGUCUCGCCCCAUCCCCAUGCAGGGUUUUAGACCCCUCCUCCCUGCCACCUCUGCUGGUGACUCUGAUUUACACCCCUCACCCCUGCUUCUGCCCUCUGUUUGGUGCCUGGCCUGCCUGUGGGCCCAGCCUCGCGUGGGAGGCUUGGGCUGUUGCUGGCUUGUGUUGUGCACGUAGAACCUCUCGCCCCUGGAAGGAAUCCGAGGGGACGGUUGCCAGGGGUCCUCGGCUCCUGGGAAGCCCCUCGGCUGGUCCCUGGGUGUCGGGUGUUGGUCCCGACUUCUGGGAGGCAGGGGGUGGACCAGGCCUCCCUGCUCAGUGAGACCCGGCAAGGCCCGACCCUGGGGGGAUGUGAAAAGAUGAGCACGUCCGCAGGGUCUCUGUUUUGCUCAUGGGCGUGGGUUCCCCUGUUCAUCCUCACCAGACCCGAGUAUCUGACGUCUGGCACCUGAGCAGAGGCCCCAGAGGUGCAAAAGUCCUGACCCUGCAGGAUGGCCCCUCUCCGCCAACAGCUGCCAGGCAAAUGUGAGCAUGGCCAGUUGGGCAGACGAGGACCUGGGGCUGGCCUAGACCAGGCUCUGCCCUCUAUUUGACCCUGACUUUUAAUUCCAGAGUCUUUCAGGCCUGGCUGAAACCAGGGUCACAGAACUAGUCUCUGAAAUCCUUUUUUCCCCUGAUUAUAUGCUUAUUGGAGAUAAUUAGGAAAACUAGGAAACAAAG
rnacentral:lncRNA from 1 species